rnacentral:lncRNA from 1 species
GCUGAAUUAUAUUUUGUUAUACGUAUUAUUGGUUACAUACUGUGUUAGUGACCUAAUACGAUAUAUAUGGUGUCAGUAAAUCCCUAUAUUGAAUUAUCUGACCCCAUAUAUAUCGUAUUAGGUCACUUGCACAUUUUGUAACGAAUUUAUCCUACUGGCUAAGAGGGGCGAAAGAUACCAGACAUACCAGAGUGGUAUGCAAACUCAUUGAUAGAAAAUAAACUAACAAUGUCAUAGCUAAAAAAGAAAAAGACAAACAGAUAAAUAACACUACACAAUACACAACAUAGAAAACUAAAGAUUAAGCAACACGUGUUGCUCCGG